rnacentral:rRNA from 1 species
CCUACGGGAGGCAGCAGUGAGGAAUAUUGGUCAAUGGGCGGAAGCCUGAACCAGCCAAGUCGCGUGAGGGAAGACGGCCCUAUGGAUUGUAAACCUCUUUAGGCGGGGAGCACUGCCGGGCACGCGUGCCCGGAGGGAGAGUCCCCGGAGAAUAAGCAUCGGCUAACUCCGUGCCAGCAGCCGCUGUAAUACGGAGGAGGCGAGCGUUAUCCGGAGUUAGUGGGUUUACAGGGUGCGUAGGCGGAUGUUUACGUCGGCGGUAAACUUUCCGGGCUCAACCCGGGCCUGCCGUUGAAACUGGGGAUCUUGAGUGGGAGAGAGGUACGCGGAAUGCGUGGGGUAGCGGUGAAAUGCAUAGAUAUCACGCAGAACUCCGAUUGCGAAGGCAGCAUACCGGCGCCCGACUGACGCUGAGGCACGAAAGCGUGGGGAUCGAACAGGAGUAGAUACCCUUGUAGUC